CCUACGGGUGGCUGCAGUGGGGAAUAUUGGGCAAUGGGCGAAAGCCUGACCCAGCCAUGCCGCGUGAGUGAUGAAGGCCUUCGGGUCGUAAAGCUCUGUGGGGAGGGAAGAACAAGCUCGUGGCUAACAUCCACGGGCCCUGACGGUACCUCCUUAGCAAGCACCGGCUAACUCCGUGCCAGCAGCCGCGGUAAUACGGAGGGUGCAAACGUUGCUCGGAAUCAUUGGGCGUAAAGCGCACGUAGGCGGCUCGUUAAGUCGGGUGUGAAAGCCCU
rnacentral:rRNA from 1 species